rnacentral:pre_miRNA from 1 species
AGCCUUCUGUAUGCGCGCUGAGACUUCGUCACACAUCAGACCACAAGGGCUGAUGAGACUCCCAAAACCAAUGACU